rnacentral:rRNA from 1 species
CCUACGGGCGGCUGCAGUGAGGAAUAUUGGUCAAUGGGAGAGAUCCUGAACCAGCCAAGCCGCGUGAGGGAAGACGGCCCUAUGGGUUGUAAACCUCUUUUGUCGGAGAACAAAACCCGGGACGAGUCCCGGACUGCGUGUACCCGAAGAAAAAGCAUCGGAAAACUCCGGGCCAGCAGCCGCGGUACUACGGGGGAUGCGAGCGUUAUCCGGAUUUAUUGGGUUUAAAGGGUGCGUAGGCGGUCUGUUAAGUCAGCGGUAAAAUUGCGGGGCUAAACCCCGUCGGGCCGUUGAAACUGGCAGGCUUGAGUUGGCGAGAAGUGCGCAGAAUGCGCGGUGUAGCGGUGAAAUGCAUAGAGAUGGCGCAGAACUCCGAUGGCGAAGGCAGCGUACCGGCGCCAGACUGACGCUGAGGCACGAAAGCGUGGGGAUCGAACAAGAUUAGAUACCCCAGUAGUC